UUAAGUUCAGCGGGUACCCCUACCUGAUCCGAGGUCAAGAGUGUAAAAAGUACUUUUGGACGUCGUCGUUAUGAGUGCAAAGCGCGAGAUGUACUGCGCUCCGAAAUCAAUACGCCAGCUGCCAAUUGUUUUAAGGCGAGUCUACGCGCAAGGCGAGACAAACACCCAACACCAAGCGGAGCUUGAGGGGUUAAAUGACG
rnacentral:misc_RNA from 1 species